GAGGAAAGGCAGUGGCUGGGUGACAACAGAGAGAGAGAGUGUAAACAACGACGACGAGUACAACGAGGAAGGAAAAGAGCGACGACUUGCCCUCAGUAAGAAUCCUUUGUUGCUUUGUCUUUUGCGGCGCUGCCUGAGGACCAUGAGGGUCAGCGUGCUGACCGGCCUGUGUGUGGCGGCGGUGGUGCUCUGUCUGUACCUCCCCCAGCCGUGUGAGGCCCAGUGGGACAUGCCCCUGGUGGUAGCUGUCGUUUCAAAGCUCGCUAAGCUCACUCGCAUGUGGUACAGAGACUCUGUAAACUUUAUGGGCCACGUCUGCCACAUCAAAAGGAGCCCAACCGUCAGGAAGUUUAAGCUGUACUAAAGGAAGGUUCUG